UACGUAGGGGGCAAGCGUUGUCCGGAUUUAUUGGGCGUAAAGAGCUCGUAGGCGGUUUGGUAAGUCAGGUGUGAAAUCUCCACGCUCAACGUGGAGGGGCCACCUGAUACUGCCAUGACUGGAGUCCGGUAGAGGAGUGUGGAAUUCCCGGUGUAGCGGUGAAAUGCGCAGAUAUCAGGAGGAACACCGGUGGCGAAGGCGGGUCUCUGGGCCGAUACUGACGCUGAGGAGCGAAAGCGUGGGGAGCGAACAGG
rnacentral:rRNA from 1 species